UGAGAAUGAUUUAAUACAUUGGGUGAUUUGUUUGCCUGAGUCUGGUGUGGAUGAAGAGAACAUUUCAGUUGCAGCUGUGUGAUAGAAAACGAUUGAUCAUCAUCAAUUAACAUUGCAGCAAUUAUUUCAACACUAUCUGCAAAAACAGAGGAUAGGUAACAGUGCAAACGUUAAAGGUGCAUUGGAUAAAGGAGGAUAAAGGAGGACGCUGAACCAGAGAAUGAGUAAGAGCAGAUAACAUCUUUCCGUUCUUUG